rnacentral:lncRNA from 1 species
UGGGAGUUCUCAGCAAUAAGCCAGUUUCACUUUUGCUCUGGGAGUUUUCUCAGUGCAUAAGGUUUCAGUGUAUGUUGCUUCACAUGUUCCUGUCUGUCCCACAGGCUGCUCCUGUCUGCCCUGGUUGCCCAGUUGAGCAACUGCUCUCUCACUUCCUUGACUGCUCCAGACUUCCUCCAUCAGAAGAACUCAUAGCUCAUUUGUACCUUGCAGUCCUGGGUCUGUUUGGAUAUCACUGCCCUUUCAUAGCUUGUCCUUCCAGCCUUCUGUCCCUUUGUGGCCUUGACUCCUGUAAUUCUGUUUAGUCAUUUCCUAGUUCUCUUUGUGAGUUCCAUACAGAUAGGGCCUGAUGGGGCU